GUGGGGAAUCUUGCGCAAUGGGCGAAAGCCUGACGCAGCCAUGCCGCGUGAAUGAUGAAGGUCUUAGGAUUGUAAAAUUCUUUCACCGGGGACGAUAAUGACGGUACCCGGAGAAGAAGCCCCGGCUAACUUCGUGACAGCAGCCGCGGUAAUACGAAGGGGGCUAGCGUUGCUCGGAAUUACUGGGCGUAAAGGGCGCGUAGGCGGAUCGUUAAGUCAGGGGUGAAAUCCCAGAGCUCAACUCUGGAACUGCCCUUGAUACUGGCGAUCUUGAGUGUGAGAGAGGUAUGUGGAACUCCGAGUGUAGAGGUGAAAUUCGUAGAUAUUCGGAAGAACACCAGUGGCGAAGGCGACAUACUGGCUCAUUACUGACGCUGAGGCGCGAAAGCGUGGGGAGCAAACAGGAUUAGAAACCCUUGUAGUCC
rnacentral:rRNA from 1 species